rnacentral:rRNA from 1 species
CCUACGGGAGGCAGCAGUGAGGAAUAUUGGUCAAUGGACGCACGUCUGAACCAGCCAUGCCGCGUGCAGGAAUACGGCUCUAUGAGUUGUAAACUGCUUUUGCACGAGGGUAAACGCGGAUACGCGUAUCUGUCUGAAAGUUUCGUGCGAAUAAGGAUCGGCUAACCCCGGUCCAGCAGCCGCGGUUAUUCGGAGGAUUCAAGCUUUAACCGGAUUUAGUGGGUUUUAAGGGUGCGGUGGCGGGCGGAUAAGUUAGAGGUGAAAUCUCGAGGUCCAAAUUCGGAAUUGCCUCUGAUACUGUUCGGCGAGAGAGUAGUGGCGGUAGGCGGAAUGUAUGGUGUAGCGGUGAAAUGCUUAGAGAUCAUACAGAACCCCGAUUGCGAAGGCAGCUUACCAAGCUACUUCUGACGUUGAGGCACGAAAGCGUGGGGAGCAAACAGGAUUAGAUACCCCAGUAGUC